GGGGGAUUAGCUCAAUGGUUAGAGCAGAGCGCUCAUAACGCUUUGGCUGGGGGUUCGAAUCCCUCAUCCCCUA
rnacentral:tRNA from 1 species